GAGUUUGAUCUUGGCUCAGAACGAACGCUGGCGGCAUGCCUAACACAUGCAAGUCGAACGAGACCUUCGGGUCUAGUGGCGCACGGGUGCGUAACGCGUGGGAAUCUGCCCUUGGGUUCGGAAUAACAGUUAGAAAUGACUGCUAAUACCGGAUGAUGACUUCGGUCCAAAGAUUUAUCGCCCAGGGAUGAGCCCGCGUCGGAUUAGCUAGUCGGUGAGGUAAAGGCUCACCAAGGCGACGAUCCGUAGCUGGUCUGAGAGGAUGAUCAGCCACACUGGGACUGAGACACGGACCAGACUCCUACGGGAGGCAGCAGUGGGGAAUAUUGGUCAAUGGGCGCAAGCCUGAACCAGCCAUGCCGCGUGCAGGAUGAAGCAUCUAUGGUGUGUAAACUGCUUUUGUACAGGAAGAAACACUCCCUCGUGAGGGAGCUUGACGGUACUGUAAGAAUAAGGAUCGGCUAACUCCGUGCCAGCCGCCGCGGUAAG
rnacentral:rRNA from 1 species